rnacentral:lncRNA from 1 species
CGAGUAGUACUCCGCUAACAUGUUGCUAUCUGCAAAAGCGGUAACGGUGUUUUAUAAUAGUUAGCUUAACCACGGUAAGUUUUACUUUAUAAGGUACGGUCUUUUAUACCCGGUAACUUACAAAUUAGCGGAUAAGGGCGUUUUAAUCGGUAACAUAUAACAUAGCGAGAAUACUACCAAAAAUUUAUACCUAUUACGUAGUCUGGAUCUGGAUCCGUAGACAUGUCCUCCGACGAGAAAGACACGUUAGCCGAGUUUGGACUUGGUGUCCGGAACAUUGAAUCCGACGAGGAAAUGGUUAUGACGUUACUCUCGCUAGCUUCCCCGAUCCCACCCGAGAUGCCUAGGUUGACGCCUUUUGGGCUACUUGGAUUGUUGCUCACGCCAAAAUCUAACUGCCUUGCCGUCUUAACCCCGUAUUCGUCUGCACCGGUUUGGCUAUUUCCAAGGGAAAUUUGAGUCGCACAGACCUCUUUCCACAUUUCUGCUCGGUACUGCUUCUUGAAAACAUGGUAGUCU